GGGGUUGGAUGCGGCAACUCGCGGCUCGAAGACAAUCUUUUGUGGUGGGGCGUCGCCGCCGCCGGCGGCACCUGCAUAGACUGUCUCGCUGGGAACGAAGAGAUGCUCCCUUGAUUUGGAGCUGUAGAAAGGAGGUGGUUGUAGACACAAAGUGGGGACACGCAACUCCCAGUCAUAAUAUUCUUUAUCUUGGCUCGUUGUUUGGGAAUGGACGCAUCAAUCUGAUGGCGCUCUCCUCCAUGCCAAACGGAUCCUUGGUUCGGAGGCGCGCGGCGCCGACGAUGACAACCUUUCUAUCGACGCAAGGGCAGCAGUAGCUCAUGAUGCUGUUGAUGCCACCACCAUGAAUGGGGUUGAUGCAAGGUGGGACAAUGCGAUCACUAAUGGGGAGAACAUAAAACUUCAAUUGAGGGCACUGUGAUUCUCUAGCUACAUGUAUCAUGUCCAAAAGAGAUCCUUAUUUCACCUUUGUUUAUAGGCAUUCAACAUGAGGAAUUUUAUACUUUUGGAGUGGAGCUAUCAAAUAUAUAUUAUGAGUUUCUAAAACAUCUAUUAUAAGGAGUUGAAGAGAGCUUCCUCUGCCCCAGCAGAUUCUGAGAAAACCAACCAGCAGAGAACAUGAACAAAUAUAGUGACGAGAAAGGGUGGAGCUGAGUACACCACACAUGGAUAUGAUGGUCUUCCCUAUGUUCUUUUUGGCAAUCCACUUAAUCACUGACUCAACUUUGAAUGGGGCGCUUCCGAUGCACAGAUGGUGGCGGUGAAGCAGCAGGCCCGAGAGAGCGUGCAGGGGAGGAAGGAGUUCCUGGUGGAGGUGCUGAUACUGGCGGUGCUCAGCCACCCUAACUUCGUCAGCCUGAUCGACUUCUGCGCACAGGGGACAAGCGGCUGCUGUUGUACGAGUACAUGCCCUUCGGCAGCCUGGAGAGUCAUCUCUUUGGUAAUACUUCUCAAAAUUAUUUAGACUUGCUAAUAGAGCAUUCGAUGUUUAGCUUCUGCCAAUCUGUACAUUCUGUUAUUAGAUUUAUUUUCCCUCAAUACCUUGUUUAG